ACCAAGAGCUCCAGCUGUUAUAAGAGAUCAUUUCUUGACUCUGUCCCAUGGAACUAAAUUGCUUCUUUUCCUGCUUCACUUCAUUAGGUGGGUGAUCAGUGGGUUUCCACUGGAGUAUGAAGAUAAUAUCCUCCAACUAGACCAAGCCUUUGAUGCUGAGAUCACACUCGGACCGUGCGUGCCGCCGCCGGGUACCGGAGCGGGGCCGGACGGAUCAGCGUGGGCUGAAUGCCCUCUACCGGGGGAACCCGGAGGUUACCCACAGCCGCACCAUCGGAGGGGGCCGUGGGAAUAAAAUCAACGGUGCUCUUCGCAGCUCUGAUGCUUCUGAGAGGGAAGGGGGAAAGCGUGCCAGGCUCUUCUUCAUCCUUGGUAAUUAAACGAGCAAGGAAAAAGAGACAGAUUAAUUGAUUGAACUGGUUCCAGGAGAAACCAUUAGUCCUGUUCCUCUUCUGCUCUAUAUGGUGUUUAAACAACUCUGAAAUGGAGCCCGGUGAAUCCUGCCAAACAUAUUUCUCCUGGAUAACUGUUCACCUCAAGAAUGUGCUGCAGAUCCUCUGCCCUCCCAGGAAGACCUACAUGUUUGGAGAAAGCACUGUGAUUUGAAAUCUGUGAGGAAGAACACAAAAGGCAGAUGAGGAUGUGUCAUCCCAGACACACCUGUUUGAGAAUGACAUAGCCAAAGAGAAGAAAGCCCAAGAGGAGAGUCCUGUGGUCAGUCCAUAACCAUCCAUCUCUGACACCUCUCCAUGUCUACUCUCAGCCCCCUCUCCACAUGGGUCCCUCCCACACCAUCCUUCCUGACUCCCUGUGGGCUUCCCACAGCCUGCAGCUCGCCCAGAACAACCCCAACACGGCUCCAUGCCAUGGGACACUGCUGGGCUCUGCUCACUAGAGGAUUCUCCUGCAGCUCCUCUGCUACCAGAACCUCACCAUGUAAGAGCAACACACCUUGGCACACACCUGGGCCUGGCCAUGGCAUUGGAGCUAUGUGAUGAAGCCAUCAGUUCUCCUAAGUGCUUAUUCACUAGCAAACCCAUGAAGUCUCUGGUGACACCCAACAGUCAGGUUUCUUCAAUUAAACAUUUUGAAGGUUUCUGAUUUGUAGCAAAUACAUGUUUAUUAAUAUCUUUUCAUAUUUAUCUCCAUAAGAUUGAAAAGAAGUAUUUUACUUGUUUUGUUUUUUCUUCUCUGAAGAAAAAUAAACAUAGAAGAUGUGUCUGUCUCCCUCUCCCC
ensembl:lncRNA